rnacentral:tRNA from 1 species
AAGAUUUUAAGUUAAAUAAACUAGUAACCUUCAAAGUUAAAAAUAAUAAAUUAAUUAAAUCUUG